CAAACAGUUAUCAGGAGUGUUCGUGUCUUUCAAGAAAGCAGCAGAAGACAAUGUUGGUGUUGGGUAACCCUAACCCUAACCCUAACGAGUCCAGGUGUAUUUGUGUUUGGUCACUGUUAAAGGACACAGGUGUCUCAAAAAGCAGCCGGCAUAUUCUUGGUGAACACUUUUCUUUUUUUUACCGUUUAUGGGUACAGAAAUAACACAGUUUGUGCCAUAAAUCGAUCAUUUUUGACAUGAAAACUGCAUCCUGGAUUUCAAGAGAAUAAUGGUGUCUUCAUUCACCAUUACUGUGCAGUUUGAACAUUGCAAUGACAACCUUAAAGUCUGGCCUUGGCCUAGGUAUAGUUUGGCCUAGGACAGUUUAUUCCCCGGGUAUACUCUGGCCUGGACCAAACUACACCCGGGUUUAUAGUGGACAGGGGUUCAUUUGUCCUGUUACACCUGUAACUAUUCUGUUUGGAGUGAAGAGUAGCUGAGAAAAUGCCAAAAUGUGAGUUUUGAAAGGUUGUUCAAAUAUAGAACUGUGUGCUUAAAAAUGAAGGAGGGAGGAUCAUUUGCCAUGUUUGUGAUGAACGUAACGUCUGAUAAAGGUUUUAAAAACAGAUUAUUGCACAAUUUUAAAAAAAUAAAAGGGAAGGGGAAAAGGGGAAGAAGACGAGAGGAGUGCAAGUGGACACAGAUGUCCAGGAAAAAAAGUGCUUGAGCAAGUUGUUUGUACUGGCUUGACUGGAAUGUCUGCAAGGAGGGUCAAAGUGACCAGAACAUGUGACGACACUUUACAGAAUUAGCACAGAUUUGACCUGCCUGACCAAUCCUGCAACUACAGCUAAUCUAAAGGGAGGAAGUUCUCAUGAGGAAGGAAAAACCAUUAAGUAAUCACAGGAUAUAUAAUAACGCCCAGGGCUUUUGCACAGAGAGGGUAAGUUUCUUUGAGUAUUUGACAGCUGAUGGACAAGAGAGAAGACGAAGACCAGAGGACGGUCCAGGACACAAAGGCGCCGUUCUUUCAAUCUCUCACAUCUGUGCGUCGAGCUUCCAGAGGUCCAAACACUUAGCGUGUUUGUGAGUAGAGGAAUUGAGCUGUAAUGGUAACUAUAGUAACUACUAAAUAUUUUAAUCAAUGUUUUAUCAUUGUGUUUUAAGGAUUUUUAUUGGUUUCCAUUGGGACUUUCUUUCUUUGUUAAAAUUCUUCAAUAAACAGUAUAAUAAUAAUUAAAUAAAAGGAUAUUUAAUUAAGUAAUACAGUGUAAACGUAUUAAUAAUCUCAGUUUUUGCUACUUGUCUUGUUUGUGAACAGUAGAACUCAAACAGUUAAAGAGGUUUGUGCUCUCCAAGUUAUUUGAAUUUGAAAAUUGUUGAAUUCAUUGAUGUCCCUGAUAAUCAUAUUUAGUCAUUUUCUUACAGGGAAUUCAGACAUGAUGUCCCAAAAUUUGAUGUAGUCACUCUCUCUUUCCUCCUCUCAGUUUUGAGCAGUUGUCCAGCAGCCUGUGGUUUUAUAUUUUUGUUUCGAUUGGGGGCUUUAGGAGAGCAGACAGGAGGGGGUGGGAUGCAUUGGUUAUGUUUAUUUAAAUGUACAUUAUAACCAUUUCAAGAUUAAUUUCCCCAAAAAAUGUAUUGUUGAAGUUUUUUUUUUUUUUUUUGUAACAAAUAACACACAAAAGUGUUUUAGAAACAAGUACAGUCAUGCUAUAAAUUGCUAAUUCCUAACCGUGGACUGCAGCCCUCUGGUGGGCAGAGGAGGUACUGCAAGUAGGCUGUGAGAGGUGAAAGUUUUUAACUUUCAUUUUUUUGUGCUUGUAUUUCUAAAAAGAAUAGACAUGAAAUAUUUACUUAAUCGGAAGUCAUUAAACAAAGCAAUGGCAGUUUUAAUGUGUUUUCAUGUUUGAUUUAUUUUUACAAUCUGGACCUGGAUUAGAGCUGAGAUUAAAGGGUUUGGUGAAUUUCUGAAUUAAAAUUUAAAUCUUAAAUUUGGGAAUGGAGGAUGUGUAUAAUCUAAAUGGUUGAGCAGGAUGUCGAGUUUGUAUUUAACUUGUGUGGCUUUUCUGGCCUUUAGAGGACCUGGAAAUGCAGUACGAUGGGGCCCUUUGCACGGCAGCCAUUUUGACAGGUCAUUUCAGGUCUGAAUCUUCCGGUUACUGAUGCCCCGAGUUCCUUUUAACUUCCUCAGUGUCCCAGUGCAUGCUGCUUCUCCCAACACUGUCACAUGAACAGAGCCUUUGUUAAUGCGAACACUAACACCUGCACCUUUUUCUGCUAGAACACAUCAAAAUGGCUGCCGUGUGUGAGAGACACACAUAUAGAGACAAGGGGAGGAAGAAGAGACAAAAUAAAUCAGAGAAAGGGUUUCUCUGUAAGCUUCCCUUGUUACAUAUAAGAGGCAAUCUGUGCUUUUAUUUGUAUUUUAUAAGUAAGUCAUACUGCAGUCGACCAUGCUUACAAGGACAAGACCGGACUUCCUCGUACUGUGAGCCAGGUUAAAGACAAGAAGAAAUAAUGUAUUAAUAUUGGGUCCAUAUUCUCAUCCUCCACUAAAAUUUAGCUUUGCGUGAAAAUAAUCUGUCUUCAUUGUACAAUAAAACCCAAGUUUAUUAAA